rnacentral:rRNA from 1 species
UGGGGAAUAUUGCGCAAUGGGGGAAACCCUGACGCAGCGACAUCAUGUGAAGGAUGAAGGCUCUAGGGUUGUAAACUUCUGUCUAGAGGAAAGAAUAAAUUGACGGUACCUCUAAAGAAAGCACCGGCUAACUCCGUGCCAGCAGCCGCGGUAAUACGGAGGGUGCAAGCGUUAUUCGGAAUUACUAGGUGUAAAGGGCGUGUAGGCGGUUUAAUAAGUUAGAUGUGAAAUCUCAUGGCUCAACUGUGAGUCUGCAUCUAAAACUGUUAGACUUGAGUAUGUAAAGGGAAAACGGAAUUUCUAGUGUAGCGGUGGAAUGUGUAGAUACUAGAAGGAACAUCUAUGGCGAAAGCGGUUUUCUUGUACAAUACUGACGCUAAGGCGCGAAAGCUAGGGGAGCAAACA